rnacentral:rRNA from 1 species
AGUGAACGCUGGCGGUAGGCCUAACACAUGCAAGUCGAACGGCAGCACAGUAAGAGCUUGCUCUUACGGGUGGCGAGUGGCGGACGGGUGAGGAAUACAUCGGAAUCUACUUUUUCGUGGGGGAUAACGUAGGGAAACUUACGCUAAUACCGCAUACGACCUACGGGUGAAAGCAGGGGAUCUUCGGACCUUGCGCGAUUGAAUGAGCCGAUGUCGGAUUAGCUAGUUGGCGGGGUAAAGGCCCACCAAGGCGACGAUCCGUAGCUGGUCUGAGAGGAUGAGCGGCCACAGUUGAAAGUAGACACGGGCAAGACGCCUACGGGAGGCAGCAGUAGGGAAUCUGCCGCAAUGGGCGAAAGCAUGACGGAGCAACGCCGCGUGAGUGAUGAAGGUCUUCGGAGCGUAAAACUCUGUUAUGAGGGAAGAACAAAUGGGUAAGUAACUAUGCACGUCGUGACGGGACCGAAUCAGAAAGCCACGGCUAACUACGUG